ACACAUGCAAGUCGAGGGGCAGCAUGGUCUUAGCCUGCUAAGGCCGAUGGCGACCGGCGCACGGGUGAGUAACACGUAUCCAACCUGCCGUCUACUCUUGGACAGCCUUCUGAAAGGAAGAUUAAUACAAGAUGGCAUCAUGAGUCCGCAUGUUCACAUGAUUAAAGGUAUUCCGGUAGACGAUGGGGAUGCGUUCCAUUAGAUAGUAGGCGGGGUAACGGCCCACCUAGUCUUCGAUGGAUAGGGGUUCUGAGAGGAAGGUCCCCCACAUUGGAACUGAGACACGGUCCAAACUCCUACGGGAGGCAGCAGUGAGGAAUAUUGGUCAAUGGGCGAGAGUCUGAACCAGCCAAGUAGCGUGAAGGAUGACUGCCCUAUGGGUUGUAAACUUCUUUUAUAAAGGAAUAAAGUCGGGUAUGGAUACCCGUUUGCAUGUACUUUAUGAAUAAGGAUCGGCUAACUCCGUGCCAGCAGCCGCGGUAAUACGGAGGAUCCGAGCGUUAUCCGGAUUUAUUGGGUUUAAAGGGAGCGUAGAUGGAUGUUUAAGUCAGUUGUGAAAGUUUGCGGCUCAACCGUAAAAUUGCAGUUGAUACUGGAUAUCUUGAGUGCAGUUGAGGCAGGCGGAAUUCGUGGUGUAGCGGUGAAAUGCUUAGAUAUCACGAAGAACUCCGAUUGCGAAGGCAGCCUGCUAAGCUGCAACUGACAUUGAGGCUCGAAAGUGUGGGUAUCAAACAGGAUUAGAUACCCUGGUAGUCCACACGGUAAACGAUGAAUACUCGCUGUUU
rnacentral:rRNA from 1 species